GUCGAACGGGAUACUGUGAGUAGCAAUACAAGCAGUGUCUAGUGGCGAACGGGUGCGUAACACGUGGAUACAUUCCGGGAAGCGGGGGAUAGCCCAGGGAAACUUGGAUUAAUACCGCAUGUGAUCGAAAGAUCAAAGACGGGGACCGCAAGGCCUGUCACUUCCCGAUUGGUCCGCGGCCUAUCAGCUAGUUGGCGGGGUAAAAGCCCACCAAGGCGACGACGGGUAGCUGGUCUUAGAGGACGACCAGCCACACUGGAACUGAGACACGGUCCAGACACCUACGGGUGGCAGCAGUCGAGAAUCUUUCACAAUGGGGGCAACCCUGAUGGAGCGACGCCGCGUGGAGGAUAAGGUCUUCGGAUUGUAAACUCCUGUCAUGCGAGAACAAGGUUGCAGGGAUAAUACCUUUGCAAAUUGAUGGUACCGCAAGAGGAAGAGACGGCUAACUCUGUGCCAGCAGCCGCGGUAAUACAGAGGUCUCAAGCGUUGUUCGGAAUCACUGGGCGUAAAGGGUGCGUAGGUGGCGUGGAAAGUCAGAUGUGAAAGCCCGGGGCUCAACCUCGGAAUUGCAUCCGAUACUACCAUGCUAGAGUACUGAAGAGGUGACUAGAAUUCUCGGUGUAGCAGUGAAAUGCGUAGAUAUCGAGAGGAAUACCAACGGCGAAGGCAGGUCACUGGGCAGUUACUGACACUGAGGCACGAAGGCUAGGGUAGCGAACGGGAUUAGAUACCCCGGUAGUCCUAGCAGUAAACGGUGCAUAUUUGGUGUGGGCGCAAUCGACCGCGUCCGCGCCGGAGCUAACGCGUUAAAUAUGCCGCCUGGGAAGUACGGUCGCAAGAUUAAAACUCAAAGAAAUUGACGGGGACCCGCACAAGCGGUGGAGUAUGUGGCUUAAUUCGAUGCAACGCGAAGACCUUACCUGGUCUUGACAUGCAUUGUGUCUC
rnacentral:rRNA from 1 species